CACCAGGUUGAUUCUGCCUGACGUAGACGCUAUACUCUAAGAUUAACCCAUGCAUGUUAUUGAAUAUAAAGAAAAGACGAACAGCUCAGUAACUCUUAUUUUAUUUGAUGUAUUAGGAUUAUAACUAUGUUAAAUUAUAGAUAACAAUAAUACAAUAAGAAUAAGAUCUAUCAGUUAGUUGUUAAGGUAAUGGCUUAACAAGACUAUGACGGAUAACGGUAUUACUUUGUAAUAUUCCGGAGAAGGAGCCUGAGAGAUUGCUACUAAGUCUAAGGAUUGCAGCAGGGGCGAAACUUGACCUAUGAUAUGAUAUUGAGGCAGUUAUGAGUAGUAUUUUUAAUUAUUGUAGUAUUGUAAGUAUAUAUUACAAGAUAAAUCGGAGGGCAAAUCGAGUGCCAGCAGCCGCGG
rnacentral:rRNA from 1 species